GCCAUAAAGCUAGCUCAAUAACUCUUAAUAAAAUUAAUAAUUUAGUAUAAUUUAUCAAAAACCCAAAUCUUUUAACCAAAUCAUUUGACCUCCCCAGUAUGGGCGACAGAAAAGGAUAACGAAGCCAUAGACAAAGUACCGCAAGGGAAAGCUGAAAAAGAAAUGAAAAAACCCAUUAAAGCAUAAAAAAGCAGAGAUUCACCCUCGUACCUUUUGCAUCAUGAUUCAGCCAGUAAAUGUAAGCAAAGAGCCCUCUAGUUUAUACCCCCGAAACUUGACGAGCUACUCCGAGACAGUCAUCUAUGGACCAACCCAUCUCUGUGGCAAAAGAGUGGGAAGAUCUCCGAGUAGAGGCAAUAAACCUACCGAGCCAAGUUAUAGCUGGUUGCCCAAUAAAUGAAUAAAAGUUCAGCCCCGCCUAGCCCAACUCAAAAAAGUUUUACUAGUAAAGACAGAGAGCUCCCCGCGGGUGUUAAUCAGAGGAGGUACAGCUCCCCUGAUAAAGGACACAACCUUAAUAGAAGACUAAAGAAUAUCUUAAAAUAAAGGCUUCAGGUCUUGGUGGGCCUAAAAGCAGCCAUCCAACUAGAAAGCGUUAAAGCUCCAGCCACAGUAAAGCCUAUUAUUUUGUUUUUUUAUCUUAUGUCCCUUUUUCCAUUGGGCCCUCCCAUGCCCCCAUAGGAGAGACUAUGCUGAAACAAGUAACAAGAAGAAUGAACUUCUCCAUGCACAAGUGUAAGUCGAAUUGGACUAACCAUCGACAAUCAACGAACCCAACAAAAGAGGGCCCAAUAUCCCCGCCACUUUAGGCCAAGAAAAGUAUAUUUUACUCUAUCGUUACCCCCACACAGGAGUGCUUAUUUAAGGAAAGACUAAAAGAAGAAAAAGGAACUCGGCAAACUCAAACCUCGCCUGUUUACCAAAAACAUCGCCUCUUGCACUUAAAGUAUAAGAGGUCCCACCUGCCCUGUGACAUUAAGUUUAACGGCCGCGGUAUCCUAACCGUGCGAAGGUAGCGCAAUCAAUUGCCCUAUAAAUGAGGGCCUGUAUGAAUGGUAUGACGAGGGUUUAACUGUCUCUUUUUUCCAGUCAGUGAAACUGAUCUGUCCGUGCAGAAGCGGACAUUUUUAUACAAGACGAGAAGACCCUAUGGAGCUUUAGGCACUAACCAACUAUCGGAAGCAAUUUCACAAAUAAAUUUCACUAUAGAUUUUCUGGUAAUGUAGUCUUAGGUUGGGGCGACCACGGGAGAAAAAGAAGCUCCCAAGUAGACAGGGAAUAACCCUGAAACCAAGAGCUACAGCUCUAAGUCGCAAAAUAUUUGACUAAUAUGAUCCGGCCGAUGGCCGAUUAACGAACCAAGUUACCCUAGGGAUAACAGCGCAAUCCUCUCCCAGAGUCCUCAUCGACGAGAGGGUUUACGACCUCGAUGUUGGAUCAGGACAUCCUAAUGGUGCAGCCGCUAUUAAGGGUUCGUUUGUUCAACGAUUAAAGUCCUACGUGAUCUGAGUUCAGACCGGAGUAAUCCAGGUCGGUUUCUAUCUGUAAAACUGCCACCCCUAGUACGAAAGGACCGGAGUAGGCAAGGCCCAUGAUAAGACUAAGCCUUUCACCCACCUGCUGAAAACAACUAAAGCAGCCAAGGGUGAGCCCCCCACAGCUCAAGAAAAGAGCCUUAUAUUUUAC
rnacentral:rRNA from 1 species